GACUUUCUUGUGCUUACCACAGGCUGUGUUCUUAUACUGACUGAUAGAAAGAGGAGGCAAAGAAAACCUGUCCCAUGUACACCUCAGCCCGUGCCACUGUGUAUGGUCUGUAUUGUGAAUGGGGAGACAUGG
ensembl:snoRNA